rnacentral:rRNA from 1 species
AGUGAACGCUGGCGGCAGGCCUAACACAUGCAAGUCGAGCGGCAGCGCGGGGGCAACCCUGGCGGCGAGCGGCGGACGGGUGAGGAAUUCGUCGGAAUCUGCCUUUUUGUGGGGGAUAACGUAGGGAAACUUACGCUAAUACCGCAUACGUCCUACGGGAGAAAGUGGGGGACCGCAAGGCCUCACGCAGAAAGAUGAGCCGACGACCGAUUAGCUAGUUGGUGGGGUAAAGGCCCACCAAGGCGACGAUCGGUAGCUGGUCUGAGAGGAUGAUCGGCCACACUGGGACUGAGACACGGCCCAGACUCCUACGGGAGGCAGCAGUGGGGAAUAUUGGACAAUGGGCGCAAGCCUGAUCCAGCCAUGCCGCGUGUGUGAAGAAGGCCUUCGGGUUGUAAAGCACUUUUGUCCGGAAAGAAAUCCCUGGAGCUAAUACCUUCGGGGGAUGACGGUACCGGAAGAAUAAGCACCGGCUAACUUCGUG